UACGGAGGGUGCAAGCGUUAUCCGGAUUCACUGGGUUUAAAGGGUGCGUAGGUGGGUUGGUAAGUCAGUGGUGAAAUCUCCGAGCUUAACUUGGAAACUGCCAUUGGUACUAUCAGUCUUGAAUAUUGUGGAGGUCAGCGGAAUAUGUCAUGUAGCGGUGAAAUGCUUAGAUAUGACAUAGAACACCAAUUGCGAAGGCAGCUGGCUACACAUAUAUUGACACUGAGGCACGAAAGCGUGGGGAUCAAACAGG
rnacentral:rRNA from 1 species